GACGGAGGGUGCAAGCGUUGUUCGGAAUUACUGGGCGUAAAGGGCGCGUAGGCGGUCUGUUAAGUUCGGUGUGAAAGCCCCCGGCUCACCUGGGGAACUGCGCCGGAAACCGACAGACUCGAGUACCGGAGAGGAGGGUGGAAUUCCUGGUGUAGCGGUGAAAUGCGUAGAUAUCAGGAGGAACACCGGUGGCGAAGGCGGCCCUCUGGACGGAUACUGACGCUGAUGUGCGAAAGCGUGGGGAGCAAACAGG
rnacentral:rRNA from 1 species